rnacentral:rRNA from 1 species
CCUACGGGUGGCAGCAGUAGGGAAUAUUGCUCAAUGGGGGAAACCCUGAAGCAGCAACGCCGCGUGAUGGAUGAAGGUCUUAGGAUUGUAAACUCCUUUUGUUAGAGAAGAUAAUUACGGUAUCUCACGCAUACUCAACGGCCAACUCCGUUACAGCAGGCGCGGUACAACGGAGGGUGCCAGCGUUACUCGGAAUCACUGGGCGUAAAGCGGGCGCAGGCGGGCUGUUAAGUCAGAUGUGAAAUCCUGUAGCUUAACUCCAGAACUGCAUUUGAAACUAUGAGUCUUGAGUGUGGGAGAGGUAGGUGGAAUGCUUGGUGUAGGGGUAAAAUCCGUAGAUAUCAAGAGGAAUACUCAUUGCGAAGGCGACCUACUGGGACAUGACUGACGCUCAUGCACGAAAGCGUGGGGAGCAAACAGGAUUAGAUACCCUUGUAGUC